rnacentral:rRNA from 1 species
ACGAACGCUGGCGGCGUGCUUAACCCAUGCAAGUCGAACGGAAAGGCCCUGCUUGCAGGGUACUCGAGUGGCGAACGGGUGAGUAACACGUGGGUGAUCUGCCCUGCACUUCGGGAUAAGCCUGGGAAACUGGGUCUAAUACCGGAUAGGAGCCAUUUUUAGUGUGAUGGUUGGAAAGUUUUUUUCGGUGUAGGAUGAGCUCGCGGCCUAUCAGCUUGUUGGUGGGGUAAUGGCCUACCAAGGCGGCGACGGGUAGCCGGCCUGAGAGGGUGGACGGCCACAUUGGGACUGAGAUACGGCCCAGACUCCUACGGGAGGCAGCAGUGGGGAAUAUUGCACAAUGGGCGCAAGCCUGAUGCAGCGACGCCGCGUGGGGGAUGACGGCCUUCGGGUUGUAAACUCCUUUCGCUAGGGACGAAGCCUUUUGUGACGGUACCUAGAUAAGAAGCACCGGCUAACUACGU